CGCACAAAGUGCCAGGAAAGAAUUAUUCAAGCCCUUCCCAGAAGGUAUCCUUCUGGCAAGGGUACUGUACUAAACUAACUAAAGUGGGGGAUAGUGAGGGGAUAAAUUUUCUUAAGGAACUCGGCAAAAUCCCAAUGGCCCACCAGGGCAUAUUGGAACACGGGCCUCGACUGUUUACCAAAAACAUAGCCCUCGGCUAAUAUGAAAAUAGAUGUAUAGAGGGUGAUGCCUGCCCAAUGGUUGUAUCUAAAAGCGGUUGAUAAAAGUUGACCUCGUAAGGACAAUUGAAUGGCCGCGGUAACACUGACCGUGAUAAUGUAGCGUAAUCAAUAGCCAAUUAAUUGUUGGCCAGUAUGAAUGGCGCCACGAAGGCCCCACUGUCUUAAGGAAAUUCCCAGUGAAAUUGAAUUCGUAGUGAAGAUGCUACGUCCAAUUUGUUAGACGAAAAGACCCCGUUGAGCUUUACUGGAGCACUUACAUGGCCCCGGCCUUCCCAUGCCUGGGAACCGGCCGAAUUUAAAUGGGCGGCUUAGAUUAUGUGGCAGCCCCCCGCUGGGGCAAAUGAAACACCACUCCCCCAUGUCAAAGGGGCUAACCCCCCCCCUUGGGGGGACAGUGUAAGUAGGACAGUUUGGUUGGGGCGACCACCUUUUAAAAAGUAACGAAGGUGCGCUUAAGGUGCGCAAUUAAUGACUGAAGCCUGACUGCGAGGGGGACACCCCGAGCAGACACCCCAAAGCCCGCCCGAAAGGCGGCGGUGGGGUGGGCCAUAGUGACCCGUUAAUUUAGAGUGGAAUAGUUAACGAUCAACGAAUAAAAGUUACCACGGGGAUAACAGCGUAAUAUCGUUAGAGAGUUCACAUCGACGACGAUGUUUGCGACCUCGAUGUUGAAUUGCGGCAUCCUGGGGUGCAGCCGCUCCA
rnacentral:rRNA from 1 species